CCUACGGGAGGCUGCAGUGGGGAAUAUUGCACAAUGGGGGAAACCCUGAUGCAGCGACGCCGCGUGAGUGAAGAAGUAAUUCGUUAUGUAAAGCUCUAUCAGCAGGGAAGAAAAUGACGGUACCUGAUGAAGAAGCCCCGGCUAACUACGUGCCAGCAGCCGCGGUCAUACGUAGGGGGCAAGCGUUAUCCGGAUUUACUGGGUGUAAAGGGAGCGUAGAGGGCAGUGCAAGUCUGCGGUGAAAGGCGGGGGCUCACCCCCCGGACUACUCUGGAAACUGUACGGAUGGAGUGCAGGAGAGGUAAGUGGAAUUCCUAGUGUAGCGGUGAAAUGCGUAGAUAUUAGAAGGAACACCAGUGGCGAAGGCGGCUUACUGGACUGUAACUGACGUUGAGGCACGAAAGCGUAGGGAGCAAACAGGAUUAGAUACCCUUGUAGUC
rnacentral:rRNA from 1 species